UAUUAUAUAAUAAUAAUAUUUUCUUCCUUUGCAGUCCCAUUGAACUGUCUUUCAAUCCAGAAGUCUUCUCACUUUCAGUUUUCCGAUUCUCUCCCACAUCCCUCUGUGGCUGGGGCAGAGUGAGAGAGAGCCUGUGCACUGUCUGGGAUUAAACCAUGACAGACAUUAUAUCUCAACUAGAGACAGUACAAAAGGAAGGAGGAAAGCCAACUCAUACACAGUAUAUGUGAGAAAGAUGCAGUUGCUGUCAGGUGACUCUUAGAACAAAAAUCUCCGAGUUUAAAAAAAAUAAAUAAAUAAGGUGUCAGGGAGGGAUAAAGGGGACAAGGAAGCAGCUGAUUAGUUUGUGUUGGUGAAACAACUUUGGCAAGGUUGGCAAGUAAUGCUGUACCUCUAAAAGCUGCCUACCAAUGACUCAACUUUCCACAAUUGCCCUUUUUCCAGUACUUGUGGUUCUGUGCUCUCUUGCCUCCAAAUCAAAGCAUGCAGUAAUGUAAAUCCCCACUGUGAGUGAGACAGUGUCUUGUCCUAUGAACAAUAAGUGGCAAUCUACAGAGUAAUACAUCUCCCAAAAGAGUUACUGUAUGCAUGCAAAUAUGUAGUUUUGUUGGUUCUGUUUUUCUGAGGACAUUCACCAAUAUCUCCCCAAAGAAGGAAAGAGAGAGGAAAAUCUUUGGUGUCAUCCAUCCAUUUGAGAUUUCUCUUUUUGAUGAGAUUAUGAAACCUUCUAAUGUAUAAGAAGUGGUGGUAUCUUUAUUCUUUCACUGACACCUCAUGAAGAGAUCCACUCCUUCUUCCUGUCUGAUCUCCAGGAUGCCAAAUCUGUUUGACUCCUCUUUGCCUCGAGGUCAGGGCAGCAUUUUCUGAGGGACAUGGAUUGUUGAGAUGGCUGGGUCAGGUCUCAACUGGACACAGUUCAAAGCUCCUCUGUUCCUCAGAACAUCUUCCUGAGGCAAUAUCUAUGCUGGCAAUUCGUUAUGGUCCCUUCUUGCUUCAUUAUGGAUCUCUCCCCCUCUGACUGUCUCCAUUCACAUGUGCUCCUUGGCUCUGGGGUGGGUAUCUGGGGCUCUGCUUGCUGGACAAACUCAUGGUGCUCAUGAAAGCUCGCAGUGUGAGAUCUCAUCCUUGGAUCACGUAAUGGAAACUCUUCAUCCACUCUGCAAAGGAUUUCUCCAAGUCACCACUGUUCUGAGGAGCCCUCAGAGUGUGGAAACCAUUUAACUGUGUUGUGAAAGCAGACAGUUCCUUCCCUGUGCCAGUCCCUCAUCCAUGCAGUGAUCCCUCAGAUGACAUCACUGUAUAAGAUAUUUUUAACACAGUGAAAUGUAUGCUUUUCCAAGCUGUAUUUCAAAUUAUCAGUUUAGAUUCAAUUAGAUCAUUGCUAUAAAUCCAAAGCUUGACUAUUUUGUUUUCUACUGCUCCUGUUUUGCUUUUCAGGGCAGUCCUGGUUUGGUACCUCUCUGUCUCACAUGUGAUUAAUAAAUAUGACAUUUGCUGUCAGGGCUGUAGUUAGGCCUUUAAGUUCUCCCAAAACCACUUGCAGAGUCUUGAGAGCUCCCAGCAACUGAGCUUGAGUCUGGAAGCAAUAGUGUUGCUCAUGUUUUCCCUAGAUCCAGGUUUCUGCAGACCUCUGGAAAAACCCCACAGAGUCAACCACAAAGCUACUUUGAAGUAAUUUCCUUCACAACAUUAAAUAUGAAAUCAAGACUGGAAAGGGAAAUCUAGAAGUUAUUCAAAAUCUUGGAACAUUCAUAAGAGCCUUGUAAGCAAUAAAAAUACAAACUUAAAACAUACAUGAGGUGUUUCAUUCCGAUUUCUAGCUGGUUAAGUGACUGCUCAGUUUUAUCUGCUGAAAGCCAACUGUCAGCCUACAGACAGAUUAUUGAAGGCAGCUCAAAUAACCCAGUUUCACUCAAAUAACCCAGAUGUCAUCUAUUUGCCAAAGUGGUAAAACGGAUCAGAAUAAUUUUGACAGCUCUCAGUGGUUGUAUUCAGUUUAUAUUUAGUUGUUUUCAGGUCAUAUCUUUAUGGGCAUGCAGUUUCACUUACCUAUUUGAUAUUAAAACAGGGGAAACCCCCACUUCAGUCAGCAUAUGCUUUCACUCACACACAGGAGGCAGAACUGAUGCCUUGCAGCUGACCAAGAUUGCAGAACUCAUUUCAAGUAACAAGGGCACAGAUGACUCUUGGAAACCCUUUUCAGAUAAGUACAUAGUUCCUUUUAUUCAUCUUGAAAACACUAUGCCAAAAAAGACAUUGGAUAAAAUUGCUUUUACACCAUGACUAAGUAUUCCCACUUCUAGCAAAGGGAGCUCUACACCCAGUCUCAGUCUUUUUUUAUUAAACCAGUCCUUAACUUUCUGGGAGGGAUUAACCCAUCCAAUUGCCCAUUCUUUGCCCUCCCAUUUACUUUGCUUACAGGUACCUCCAGGUGUUCUAUCAGACAUGUUAGAAUUUCUGCUGAGGAUUGCAAACUGCACUUCCAUAAAAUCCUGACACUGGGGAUGGGCCCAUCCCCUCCAUUUAGUCAAUUUAUGCCACUCUUGGACUUUCACUUUCUUAUUCACCUUUCCAAACAGCACACAAUCUCCAGGAGGUCACAGUCAGAGAAACACUCAGCUGGAGGGAAGAUUGAGGAAGAAAUUGGGGGUAGUGCUCCACUACAGGUGUCCAAAUCCCACUGCAAAGACAAGGAAAACUCACGGGGGAGGAAAUGGCAGAAAAAAGGUUCUCACAUUCCUAACAAACCUAAGUCUUCCAAAGUCUAUGACAUCUGUGUAUCAUGAAGGUGUCAUUUGAAUUUGGUUUGUUAUGCUUUUUAAAGUAUCACUUAAUUAGUUCCCAUGAUAAGUCAACCCCUGCAGCUCCUGUCUGCCAGGACACACCUCUUGUGUGCACUGUUAAAAUAGUUAGGAACUAUCAUCCAUAUGGAUGUUACUGAUUAGUAAGGCUAGUGUGGCUUUUAGAAACGUGCUUGAAAUAACUGUUUGGCUGCUAAUUAUCCUUGAUUUUGAUGAAGGAAUGUUUAUGAGCAUUGUUUAGGUUGUCUAUAGGACGCAUGAGUCUUUCCUAUCCCAGCAGCUUUAAAAACUCAUUGUUGCUUCUAAAAAGCUUUGCAUUUAAGAACAGCUAAUUACUGCCAAACUGGCUGAUAUGUGAGAUAUCUGAUGAAAAAUCUGUUGUUUCAGGAACAGUAUUUGUAGCUCAGCUUAUGGCACUAUAUCAUCAGAGUCCCUAACGAAUCAGUCCCAAGAUGUCACUAGGGAGACUGCGCUUUUUUGACAGCAGUGGCCAUUUGUGGCUGUUAAAGAAUCCAAAACAUCUUGGAGGAAAAUGAUCAUGCUGCCUUUUUUUUGUUGUUUUGGUUUCUUGCUGUUGUUGGUAUUUUUGUAGCUAUUCUUUCUAGCACUCCAGCAGUGCAGGGCAAAUGAUGUGAAGCAUUGAACAUCCUUACUCCCAGCAUCGCUGUGCACUACACGUACUCAAACAACAAAGUCUUUCCAGGAAAGGUGCAGUUACAGGAGUAAUCCCUGCAAAUACAGACUGGGUUGUCAAACUGCAUGCACUGCAUUUUAGAUCCAUACAAUUGUCUCUUUCUUCAACCUUCCCCAAAGCAAUGUAUACGCUUAACAUCCCUUGGGUUUCAGACAUUUUAGCUGUAUUAAUAGACACCACCACCCAAACACCAGCUAGAUCUAGUUGGAUGGUAUAAAAGCACAUAAAAACAUCUAUUUUUCUUCUACUUUCAUGCAUAUAGAAGAUAAAUGGUUGAGCAUAAAGUAUUGUACUUCUGAGUUCAUUAGCAUGUAUUCAACACAGGCAGGAAAUCUCAGAAAGUUAUUACUAAAUGAUCAUAGUUCUCUGUUGUCAGUUUGAUCCCUGCAGGAUGUGUCCAUCUCAGAGAAAAUGCCCAUGCAGGUGCACUGGCUGCCUCGGCAGAGAGGUCAGGCAUUGAAUGGGUGAUGGAGUCUUCAGUAUCUACACAUCUCUGAAGCUGAUGCUGCAUUCCUUUUCCAUCCGUAGCUCCAGCGAUUGCAUCACUGCACUCUUCCAUCUGCCUUCAGCUGCUGUGGCUGAAGCAAACUGACACAAAAAUGGAGGAAUGAUGAGCAGCAUGACCCUCUUGGAACUCUCCCUAGCAGGGGGCUCGCUGGGCUGCUGGACGCUGAGCUUGCUGCAAUUUGUGCCUGCAGCAUCCAUCAGAACUGGGACUGCUGACUGCUGUGCUUGGGCUGGCAUGAUUGACAUUGACUCUGGGAUGACCCAAAGCUCAAACGUGCCCUUUUUGAGGACACCAGUCUGGCUUUGCAUUUCAUCUCUUAGGCAGAGGUGGUAGUGAUGAAAAGACACAUCCAGACUGAAAUUUCUAAGCACUAUUACUCUUUAUAUAGCACAAAAGUUCAGAUUUCUAGGCAAAAUAACAAGCCCUGCUCACAUGGCCCUCAGCUCCCUUGAAGCACUUGGGUUGUAAGGGCAAAAUUAGUUCAGCCCAUAUUUCAGAGAAGCAGAGGAUGUCCAUGUAUAUGGGCAGAUUUCUUUUACUCCUUCACAUCCACUUUCAUAAAAAAGAACAUUGUUGAGACCUUUUCUUCUUCAUCCUUCAACCACAUCUGUUGCUUAGACACCUUGGUCUCCACUCCUCCCAGAAUUCAAAUCCAAACACUGGUUUGUCCUAGGGAAGACUUAAAACCUUAAUAUCCUUAUCACACAAGUAUUGGAUCAGAGUGGAUGACCAUCAAGCAUUGACUCUUAGAAUACAGUGCUUUUCCUUGCAACCUUAGUCCAAGCUGUACAUAAAUUCACAGAGAGGGGGAAAAGUCCAGCCUUACAGUCAAAAGGAGGUUUGCAUUCUGAUAUGGAAAUGUUCAGAAGGUUUGCAUUCUGAUACGGAAAUAUUCAGAGGGAUUGUGACUGCACACACAAAGAACACUUUGUACAUAGAUUCAGUUAUAUUCUUUAUUGUUGAAACAGUUCUGGAAUGUUUUGGUCUCCCUGAGCUGCCAAACAGACGAAAACAUUGGUCCGUCCUGUAAUUUUUUUCUUUAAAUUACAUGAGAAAGAUUAGCAAGCAGCAGAAAGGACAAGAAGGCAUUUCAAAACUGUGUUCCAAAAGAAAAAGAGAGUAAAGACAGAGACAUGAAACAUCAAGUACUGUGACUCAAAUGGUACAGGAAAAACUUAAGGAGGAUUGGAAAACAAGUUAAACCCCACUCCUGACUUCAGAAUUCUUCAGGACAUACAGACACCUUCCUUUCUAAUAUCCAACCCUUGGAUAUGCCAGCCUGAGGGAGCCUGCUGAAAGGGCAGGUUUGUAGUGAAGCAGCACAGCACAACGUGGCCUAUUGUCAGCUCGGGGGCUGACACGGUGCUGCCCACAUAUGUCAUAUGACCACAAAACCACCGCUGGAAACACUCACUACAGUGUAUCAAAUCUUCAGUGCCAUUCAUUACACACAGCUAACCAAAAUAGCUCACCUAUUAACCUGUCACCUGGGCAGCUCCUGGUCUCCAAUUUACCUCUUCACCCUUCUCCUGCUUCUGAAUACCACAUGGAACCUGGUCAGGCUACAAGACGAGUGGUAAUCAUGGUGCUAUUAAUAUGACAGUCAGCAGCCUCUUCCCACUUCACACAGCCUCACAUGAAUUCCUUGACAUUAGACUUUAGGACUCAGAUCAAAUCACUGAGUUUAUGAGAGUUUCUCUAGUAUAAUUUUUCCAACUGAAAAGCUGAAGGGGUUCUUAGUACACUUAUUUAAUUCUCCUCAGCCCUAGGACUCUUCUUUGUCCUGUGCCAUCCCACUUCUGAAUAACAAAAUAUUAUCAUGAACUGGACACACCUGGAAACAAAGAAAAAGGGACAUCCUGGUGGAAGAGCAUUGCUGCUGUUAAUACUGAAAUAUUACUAGAUUAAUUAUAUUUAAUCAGUUAGCUCAUGAUCUGAAAUGAAAAAGAAAAGUAUUUUACACACCAGAAAAUUGUUGGAAAAUUUACUAUCAGUUGGAACAGGGAGGGGAUAUUUUUGAAAGUAACUUGAAGCAUAAUACAACAUUAAAUAAGAAAUAAUCAGGGAUGAUCAUACUGACUUGGGACAUGUUGCAAGAUAAAGCCCUUAUUCAGUUGGCUAAUUUCAUGGCAUUUUGAAAAACACAUUACUCAGUUAAUGGUCUGAGGAAAUACUUUGAAACCAAUCAUGAAUAAAUACAAAAUGCUCAGAAUUUUUCAUAUUUUCCACCAGAAAAGAAAAAAAAAACUACUGAUGGGUUCUUAAUAUGUAAUAACAACAUGAUACCGAGACAAAAACUGAAAUACAAGAUGAAAUUAAAAGCUGUCUGUCCCCCAGAGCCAGUGUAGUUUAUCCUAAGUCACUUGGCUGCCACAGCAAUGCAGCCAGUGACUAUCUAGGGUGACACAAGGCAGCCAUUCUAGUGGGAUAAAGAGGACUUUCAUCUCUACAUUGCUCCAGCUGGAAUAAUGCAAUGGUGGCCUGUGACAAACGAGCAGAUGAUCCCAGCCCAGUUUUAGGGUGCCCACCCCAAAAUGCCCAACAACAGGCCCACAGCUCCCUGUACAUGGGAACCUUUGAGUUUGUGUAGUUUUUUCUAAGUCCCAGCUGAGAAACACCAGCAGUGCAGGACAGAAAGCUGUUUCCAGCUACCAGAUCCUCCUACGUGUUGUGUGGAUAACUACAAGACUUUGACCUAAAGUCACCUUGUCCUAGUUUCUAAUUCACUUUUAUGCAGAUGAGAUGGCAGGAUCAGGGCUGUGGUAUCCACACUGGCUCAUACUUUCAGAAAUGAAAGCUGCAAGAUUUAUUCAUCUGAGUGACCACAAUUAGGUUAGCUUGCCGGAUCAGGCUUAUUCUGCAUGAAAAGGAUAGUUCUCUCUAAUUCACAAAAAGGAAAAUGAGAAAUAUUGGUGGAAAAGGGAAUAUGCUAACUCUUGUAAAACAUUAGUGGAAACUGCAUUGCCCAGACUGAAAUGUCAUUUAAAACCACGGGUGUCCCUUUAAGCAAAAUAUCAGCACAGGGAAGGAAGAACUAAAACCAGUAAGAGAGCAGCUGAUAAAACACUGCCAUCACAUUUUCAUACAUUAUACCCCAAAAUGUUUCACAAAAUUGAGUAAGAGAGGAAAACAGAAAGUAUUUUUGUACCACAUUCCUUUGGCAUAUGUAGGAUAAAGCCCAUCAUGUGAGCUGAACUGUAAAUGAGGGCCUUAUGCUUUAUAAAAAUUCUCCUAUUGUCCCAGGAAGGAUGAGAGUCAAAUACAACAGUUUGAGCAAUGCUCUAAGUCCUGUAAAUAAAGUUAGCCUAGCAGAUAGGAAUCAGCAGACUGUUUGGGGAGGGG